rnacentral:rRNA from 1 species
GACGAACGCUGGCGGCGUGCCUAAUACAUGCAAGUCGAACGAAGCUGUUUUAACUGGUGCUUGCACCGACUUAAACAACUGAGUGGCGAACGGGUGAGUAACGCGUGGGUAACCUGCCCCAAAGCGGGGGAUAACAUUUGGAAACAGAUGCUAAUACCGCAUAACCACAGAAACCACAUGGUUUCUGUGUCAAAGAUGGUUUCGGCUAUCACUUUGGGAUGGACCCGCGGCGUAUUAGCUAGUUGGUAAGGUAAUGGCUUACCAAGGCAAUGAUACGUAGCCGAACUGAGAGGUUGAUCGGCCACAUUGGGACUGAGACACGGCCCAAACUCCUACGGGAGGCAGCAGUAGGGAAUCUUCCACAAUGGACGAAAGUCUGAUGGAGCAACGCUGCGUGAGUGAAGAAGGUUUUCGGAUCGUAAAACUCUGUUGUCAGAGAAGAACGUGUGCGAGAGUAACUGUUCGUGCAGUGACGGUAUCUGGCCAGAAAGCCACGGCUAACUACGUGCCAGCCGCCGCGGUAA